rnacentral:rRNA from 1 species
AACGAACGCUGGCGGCAUGCCUAACACAUGCCAGUCGAACGAGACCUUCGGGUCUAGUGGCGCACGGGUGCGUAACGCGUGGGAACCUGCCCUUAGGUUCGGAAUAACUCCCCGAAAGGGGUGCUAAUACCGGAUAAUGUCUUCGGACCAAAGAUUUAUCGCCUUUGGAUGGGCCCGGGUUGGAUUAGCUAGUUGGUAGGGUAAAAGCCUACCAAGGCGACGAUCCAUAGCUGGUCUGAGAGGAUGAUCAGCCACACUGGGACUGAGACACGGCCCAGACUCCUACGGGAGGCAGCAGUGGGGAAUAUUGGACAAUGGGCGAAAGCCUGAUCCAGCAAUGCCGCGUGAGUGAUGAAGGCCUUAGGGUUGUAAAGCUCUUUUACCCGGGAUGAUAAUGACAGUACCGGGAGAAUAAGCUCCGGCUAACUCCGUG